UGUUGCAUAUAGGCUAAAUUGGUAAUCUCUUGGUUUUGUUAGCUAUAUCAUAUUUCUUAGUAUGGGACUGCUUCAUGUGCUUUUGGAAUGCUGGUUUGUGGAUUGUUUUGUUUUUCUUUUCCUGCCUCCCCCUCCCCACUGAGUGGUCAAGUCGGGACAGUCUGGAGCUGCUGCCUCAUGGAAUUUUGAAAAGAGGGGAGCCCCACCACAGCUCUCAGCUGGAUAUGGUGGGCCUGGCUCUGGCCCUGCUUCCCCAGUCACUGCCGGAGAAGGGAAAGCGCAGCCCUUUGUAUUCCCUAGGACCUAGGCCAGCAGCACCCAUGCCGCUUUGGGAGCCACAGCCCUGAGGGGACAGCACUAUUCAAUGCUCUGUGGACAUGCUUGGGUCUGAGCAA
rnacentral:lncRNA from 1 species